AGAGUUUGAUCAUGGCUCAGAACGAACGCUGGCGGCGUGGAUAAGACAUGCAAGUCGAACGCUGAUUUCAGGGUAGCAAUAUUCUGAGGUCGGAGUGGCGCAAGGGUGCGUAACACGUGGGUAAUUUGCCGUGAAGUUGGGGAUAACUCGCUGAAAGGCGAGCUAAUACCGGAUGUGAAAAUUGGAAGGCAUCUUCUGAUUCUUAAAGUUGGGGACCGCAAGGCCUGACGCUUCACGAUAAGCCCGCGGCCUAUCAGCUAGUUGGUGAGGUAACGGCUCACCAAGGCUAAGACGGGUAGCUGGUCUGAGAGGACGACCAGUCACACUGGAACUGAGACACGGUCCAGACACCUACGGGUGGCAGCAGUCGAGAAUUUUUCUCAAUGGGCGAAAGCCUGAAGGAGCGACGCCGCGUGGGGGAUGAAGGGCUUCGGCUCGUAAACCCCUGUCAUUCGCGAACAAACCUUAUGGUAUAACACAUCAUGAGCUGAUUGUAGCGGAAGAGGAAGGGACGGCUAACUCUGUGCCAGCAGCCGCGGUAAUACAGAGGUCCCAAGCGUUGUUCGGAUUCACUGGGCGUAAAGGGUGCGUAGGUGGCAGGGUAAGUUUGAUGUGAAAUCUCCGGGCUUAACCCGGAAACUGCAUUGAAUACUAUCCUGCUCGAGGAUUGGAGGGGGGACUGGAAUACUUGGUGUAGCAGUGAAAUGCGUAGAUAUCAAGUGGAACACCAGUGGCGAAGGCGAGUCCCUGGACAACUCCUGACACUGAGGCACGAAAGCUAGGGGAGCAAACAGGAUUAGAUACCCUGGUAGUCCUAGCCGUAAACGGUGCAUAUUUGCUGUAAAAGGAAUCGACCCCUUUUGUGGCGUAGCCAACGCGUUAAAUAUGCCGCCUGGGAAGUACGGUCGCAAGAUUAAAACUCAAAGAAAUUG
rnacentral:rRNA from 1 species